CUUGCACCUGAGUUGACGAUGGAUCACCAGUGAGUGGCGGACGGGUGAGUAACACGUAGGUAACCGUGCCCCGGAGCGGGGGAUAACAUUUGGAAACAGAUGCUAAUACCGCAUAACAACAAAAGCCACAUGGCUUUUGUUUGAAAGAUGGCUUCGGCUAUCACUCUGGGAUGGACCUGCGGUGCAUUAGCUAGUUGGUAAGGUAACGGCUUACCAAGGCGAUGAUGCAUAGCCGAGUUGAGAGACUGAUCGGCCACAAUGGAACUGAGACACGGUCCAUACUCCUACGGGAGGCAGCAGUAGGGAAUCUUCCACAAUGGGCGCAAGCCUGAUGGAGCAACACCGCGUGAGUGAAGAAGGGUUUCGGCUCGUAAAGCUCUGUUGUUGGAGAAGAACGUGCGUGAGAGUAACUGUUCACGCAGUGACGGUAUCCAACCAGAAAGUCACGGCUAACUACGUGCCAGCAGCCGCGGUAAUACGUAGGUGGCAAGCGUUAUCCGGAUUUAUUGGGCGUAAAGCGAGCGCAGGCGGUUGCUUAGGUCUGAUGUGAAAGCCUUCGGCUUAACCGAAGAAGUGCAUCGGAAACCGGGCAACUUGAGUGCAGAAGAGGACAGUGGAACUCCAUGUGUAGCGGUGGAAUGCGUAGAUAUAUGGAAGAACACCAGUGGCGAAGGCGGCUGUCUGGUCUGCAACUGACGCUGAGGCUCGAAAGCAUGGGUAGCGAACAGGAUUAGAUACCCUGGUAGUCCAUGCCCGUAAACGAUGAAUUGCUAGGUGUUGGAGGGUUUCC
rnacentral:rRNA from 1 species